CUAUCUGUCAUUAAAAUAAUAUCACAACUAUGUAUUGGAUAUCUCAAAAUAAGAUGUUCCAAAUAACUUUCAUAAUAAAUCUUGCAAUCAAAAACAUUUAGAGAUAAAAACAGCUCCUGAAAAUAUUUGAUAAUGUCAAAAAUACCAGUCUAGUUACGACAAUCAAACAAUAACAGAUACUUCCAGUUCAAUUCCAAUGCUUCAACCAACUAGAUAAAUCACCAGAAAUAUAAUUGUCAUAAGAGUUAUUGAGGCAUCCAUCCAUAACAAACCAUGAUCAACAGACCUUUAGAGUUGGUACACCCGGUUAAAUUUUUAUUUGCAAAAUGGAAGGUUCUCUUUAUUUUGAAGCAGAAGAUUGAAGGUUCUUGAAUAUUGAAGGUCCUAAUAUGUAUCAAUUAGAACCAAGCACCCAAAUUUAUUUGAAUGAAAAUUCCAAAAUUGUGUGAAACUCCAAUAUUGUAGUAAAGUAAAAAAUUCUUUGAAUAUAUUGAGAAAGAACACAUUUUCUCAAUUAAGGUUUUUUUCCUUAAGUAGAAGAUUGAAUGUUCUUGAAUAAUCAAUAAUGAAAAAAUAGAUAUCUCAUUCAUAAACAUACAGGCAAAAAUUGUUGGCA